rnacentral:rRNA from 1 species
GGCUCAGGAUGAACGCUAGCUACAGGCUUAACACAUGCAAGUCGAGGGCAGCGGGAAGUCAGCUGCUGACUUGCCGGCGACCGGCGCACGGGUGAGUAACGCGUAUCCAACCUUCCCCUUAGUAGGGCAUAGCCCGUAGAAAUGCGGAUUAAUACCCUAUGUUAUUCGUCGAGGACAUCUGAAGUGAAUCAAAGGUUUACCGCUAAGGGAUGGGGAUGCGUCCGAUUAGGCAGCAGGCGGGGUAACGGCCCACCUGGCCGACGAUCGGUAGGGGUUCUGAGAGGAAGGUCCCCCACAUUGGAACUGAGACACGGUCCAAACUCCUACGGGAGGCAGCAGUGAGGAAUAUUGGUCAAUGGGCGCGAGCCUGAACCAGCCAAGUAGCGUGCAGGACGACGGCCCUAUGGGUUGUAAACUGCUUUUAUGCGGGGAUAAAGUGCGGCACGUGUGCCGUUUUGUAGGUACCGCAUGAAUAAGGACCGGCUAAUUCCGUGCCAGCCGCUGC